UCGUCAAAUCGAAGAUUAAGUGGUCGAUUUGUGCGUGGGUGCUUGAUUUUCGUGGGAAGGAAAGGGGUUUUCUUCAUUUCAGACAUUUCUUCUUCGUAAGGUAUGAAAUCUCAUGUUCUUACCAUGUAUUCUUAAUUUUUUACCGUAUAAUCGUAGAUUGGAAGACUUUGAGUGUUUUUCAUUAAGUUUACCAUAAGAUUUCGUUUUUUUUUUUUUGAAGAUAUGGAUCCUACAUGGCAAUGGUGCGAAAGGGUGAAGGAGAAUAAUCGUUUGAAACUCAAAUGUGGCUUCUGUGGGAAUACACUUUCAGGAGGGAUUAUUAGAAUGAAACACCAUUUGGCAGGGACCUCCAAAGAUGCGUCUCCUUGUGUUGGAGGACCAAACAAACCUUUGCCUCCAUUUGUGCGUCAACAAUGUUUAGAUAUGCUUCAUGCUUUACGUCAAAAGAGAAUACAAAAAGAAAUUGAAGAUGCAGAUGUAGGCUAUAAUGUGCCUUUGGAAGAUGAAGAAGAAGAGGAAGAAGCUUAUGAAUGUGAUGAUGAAGACGAUAGCAGUCUAAGAACAGAUUUGGAGACCUCAAGAGGUAGAGAUCGUAGAGCAAAAGGGAUUAUGUAUGAAGGAGGUCGAUCUGGCAUAACGGGAAGGAAGAGGAGAGGCACAACAGAUGUUAGGGCCAGGCGUGGUAUGCGACCACCUAGUGGUAGAGUUCCUACUGGUAGGUCUAGUGUUGGCUCUAUUAAGAGUUUUUUCCCUUCAUAUACCAGCCCAGGUGGUCAGCCGCAGAUUCGUGCUGCUAUGACAUCUAAAGAUAUGCUAUAUCAUGCACAAAAGCAGGUAGGGAAAUGGUUUUAUGAUGCAUGUAUUCCAUUUAAUGCAGCUAAUUCUUUUCAAUUCCAAGCCAUGGCAGAUGCAAUUGCUUCUAUAGGCCUCGGAUUCAAAAUGCCAUCAUAUCAUCAGUUGAGGGGUAAAAUUCUUCAGGAUACAGUCAAAGAAGUGUCUGAGCAUUGCGAUGAGUUGAAAUUAUGUUGGAAGGAAACAGGUUGCUCCAUUAUGUCAGAUGGUUGGACUGAUACAAGGUCAAGAACACUUGUAAAUUUUCUUGUUUAUUGCCCUAAAGGUACAAUGUUCUUGAAAUCUCUUGACUUGUCUGAUGUUCCUAAGACUGCUGAGAUUUUAUUCAAUGUUUUUGAUAAUGUCGUACAAGAAGUUGGACCUGCAAACAUUGUAUAGUUUAUUACAGAUAAUGCUGCAAAUUAUAGAGCUACAGGAGAUUUGUUAUUUCAAAAGUAUAGAACAUUUUAUUGGAGUCCAUGUGCCACUCAUUGUGUUAAUCUAAUGCUUCAAGAUCUUAGUGAGAUGCAUGAUAUAAAAUCAGCCAUUGACCAAUGUCAAGAGUUAACAAAAUUUAUCUAUAAUCAUGCAUAUGUAUUGAGUUUGAUGAGAAAAUUUACAAAAGGAGUUGAAUUAAUACGACCUGCACAAACUAGAUUUGCCACAAAUGUAUUGACUGUGCAGAGUGUGGUGAAACAAAGAACUCCUUUGAGACAGAUGUUUGCUAGUGAAGAAUGGGCUGCAUAUCCACAUGCUCAUAAAAGAAAUGCUUCUUUAGUUGUGGAUAUUAUAUUCAAUAACGUAUUUUGGGAAUCAUGUGUGAAGCUACUGAAGGUUUGUGUUCCAUUAGUUAAGGUUCUCAGGUUGGCUGACGGCGAGGACAGACCUUCCAUAGGGUACUUAUAUGAGGCUAUGGACAAAGCAAAAGUGACAAUUCGAGACAACUUAAAGGAAAAGAAAAAGUUAUAUAUGCCCAUAUGGAAGAUUAUAGAUAAAAGGUGGACUGGACAGCUUCAUCAACCUCUUCAUGCAGCAGCUUAUUAUCUAAAUCCUGCAAUUAGAUUUUCUCCUACAUUUAAGAAGGACAGAGAAGUCAUGCAUGGUUUGUUAGAUUGUAUUAAUGUGUUAGUGGAAGAUUCUACAGAACAAGAUGCUGUGCACAAUGAGUUGGAUCUAUAUGAUAGUUGUUUUCGGAACAUGUGACUACCUGUCGCCGUUCGAGCCAGGACAACGAUGCGUCCAGGUAAAUACAUAGAAAUUUUUAAUUUACUUUGCAUUUGUUACAUUUGAUUCUUUUAAAACUUUCACAUUGAUUUGUUAUAUUUUUGUUUAGAUUUGUGGUGGAAUAGGUAUGGGUUUGAUUGUCCAAACCUAGCACGUUUUGCAGUCAAAGUCCUCAGCCAGACAUGCAGUGCUAGUGGAUGCGAAAGGAACUGGAGUGUGUUCCAACAUAUCCAUAGCAAAAAAAGGAAUAGGCUUGAACAUAAAAGGUUGAAUGACCUUGUCUUUGUUCGAUAUAAUAUGAGGUUGAAACAAAGAGAAUUAGAAAAAUCAUUAGCAAGGAAGCACACAUCUCAGUUCGAUCCUAUCAGCUUGGAAAAUUUUGACGAUCUAGAGCCAUGGAUUGAAGAAGAACCAGCUACAAUAUUUGAUGAUGAAGAUCUUGAAUGCUUCAACCUUGAAGCUGAAGCAACAGAAGGCUUUGUUGAUGAAGGAGAGUCUGCUACUGCUGGUGCUGGUGCUGAAUAUGUUGGUGAAGAUCUUCCAAUUCUUGACGAUGAAGAAGAAGAAGAAGAUGAAGAUGAAGAUUAUGAAUGAUGAAUCAUGAAUGAGAGUCAAGUCAAGAGUGCUUUCAUUUUAUAUGUAUCAAAAACUUAAGAGUUAUGAAUCUAUGGUUGUUGAACACUUGAUUGAAUGUUUUAUGACUUUAUCACUUUAUGGCUUAUGGCCUUAUGCUUUGUUGAAUGAUAUUGUAUUAUUGUUAUGAAUUUUGAUGUUUAUGAAUGAUGAACGCGUAAGUUUAUAGCAAUAAUAAGUCUAUCAUUAUCUCAAACAUGUUUUCUAUGAACAAUUUAUUAUUUUUAAUUUUUUCUGAUUUAUUAAUAAUUUUUUAAAAAAAAUUACGAUACGGUUACGAUACGUUACGAUACAGCGUAUCUUAAAGCCCGACCGAUACGGCUUACGAUACGCAUUUUACAACAUUGGCUCGAAGUGAAAAUCAAGAAGAUCCAACACAGUCAUCACGAAAGCAAUAAUGAAGAACAGAGCAACGAUGCACAUCGGUAUUGGGGUCUUAUCUACAGUCGACGACUAAGGGACAGAGAUGCUCACAGUGAACAAGACAACAUGACCCACCUUAGAAGAUCCCAACGCAUUCGUCAUCCCAUUCACAGGUGGGUUAGCUAUGAUUCUUUAUCACUUGAUUUUCAGUUAUUCAUGGCAAAAGUUGACAAGGAGGAAGAACCUACUUCAUUUGAUCAAGCAUCAAAAUCACAUCAUUGGAGAAAUGCUG